ensembl:lncRNA
GUCUGUUGCGGCGCAGAAUAAACUUUAUCCGUGUCUGGUGAAAGCCUCUCAUGGAGUGAAUACUUUCAGCACCCUAAUUGCAAUGAUAGCCAUUUUUCUGAUGAGCAUGCAAUUAGCAUCAAUACCAAGAAAUCAUCAUUUUAUUUUGCCGACCAUUGUAAUAUUGGCAUUCACCAUCCUUCAGUUCAUCAUCUCCAUCUGUAUCUCAACAUUUUCCUACAAAGCCAUCAGCAACAACGACUCUACAGUAGUAAAUGUUGCACUAAACCAGGAAAACUGAGUCACAGUGAAGAGAUCAAAGGCUGCAGGAAAUUGAUAUCUCACAUUGUUGCUUUUUAAUCUGUUCUAGUGUUACAGUGUUGUAUUCAUGCAUAUAUGAAAAUUACUAAUUAUACAUCAGACCCAACGUUUUGACAUGCAUUUUCUUUUUUAUGUUUGACAUGGAGAAAAAGACUGUAUUUGUUAACCAAGUUUCUGAAUGAGUAUAUUCUGAAAGUAUUUUAAGACCAGUGUUGGGGGUAAUGCAUUACAAGUAGUGUGAGUUAUGUAAUCAGAUUACUUUUUCAAGUAACUUGUCACACACUCACUGUUUGGACCCUGGUUGUGUUUGUGUUGUAAAUUGGUUGUCAUCUGAUUUCAUCAUUAUGUUUAGGUGUGUGCCAUUAUCUCCCCUACUUAAGUUCAGUCCUGUUAGUGUUUGUUUGUUGGGUCUCUACUAAAGUUCUAGACUAAAUGUGAACAUGCACUUGCACAAAAACAAAUUGAGUUUUCCUCAAAAUUAAUAAAAACAGUGAAAUGCAAACUCAGAAUAUGAUGCAAAC